UGCUCAGAUUGAACGCUGGCGGCAGGCCUAACACAUGCAAGUCGAGCGGUAACACAAGGGAGCUUGCUCCUGAGGUGACGAGCGGCGGACGGGUGAGUAAUGCCUAGGUAUCUGCCCAGUCGAGGGGGAUAACAGUUGGAAACGACUGCUAAUACCGCAUACGCCCUACGGGGGAAAGGAGGGGACCUUCGGGCCUUUCGCGAUUGGAUGAACCUAGGUGGGAUUAGCUAGUAGGUGGGGUAAUGGCUCACCUAGGCAACGAUCCCUAGCUGGUCUGAGAGGAUGAUCAGCCACACUGGAACUGAGACACGGUCCAGACUCCUACGGGAGGCAGCAGUGGGGAAUAUUGCACAAUGGGCGAAAGCCUGAUGCAGCCAUGCCGCGUGUAUGAAGAAGGCCUUCGGGUUGCAAAGUACUUUCAGCGAGGAGGAAAGCUCUAUUGUUAAUAGCGAUUGGGUGUGACGUUACUCGCAGAAGAAGCACCGGCUAACUUCGUGCCAGCAGCCGCGGUAAUACGAGGGGUGCAAGCGUUAAUCGGAAUUACUGGGCGUAAAGCGUACGCAGGCGGUUUGUUAAGCGAGAUGUGAAAGCCCCGGGCUCAACCUGGGAACUGCAUUUCGAACUGGCAAGCUAGAGUCCUGUAGAGGGGGGUAGAAUUUCA
rnacentral:rRNA from 1 species